UACGUAGGGUGCAAGCGUUAAUCGGAAUUACUGGGCGUAAAGCGUGCGCAGGCGGUUCUAUAAGACAGAUGUGAAAUCCCCGGGCUUAACCUGGGAAUGGCAUUUGGGACUGCAAGGCUGGAGUGCGGCAGAGGAGACUGGAAUUCCUGGUGUAGCAGUGAAAUGCGUAGAUAUCAGGAGGAAUACCGAUGGCGAAGGCAGGUCGCUGGGACGUGACUGACGCUGAGACGCGAAAGCGUGGGGAGCAAACAGG
rnacentral:rRNA from 1 species